GGGGCGGCCUGAGGGCGGGGGCGGGGGCGGGCCCGCGCCGCGCCGGGGCCGGUCGCCGCCGCCGCCGGGUAACGCCUUUCCGGCCCCGCAGGCUGCUGGCAUCGGUGCCCGAGGGGGCGAGGUGCCCCGUCGCCGGCAGCCCGGGGGUCACGGGGCGCCAUGGCAGGCGGCUGGAAGGGUCGGGGGCCGGGACGGUGGCGGUGGCGCCGCCAUCCUGCCGGGGAAUCACGGGCAAGCCGGGCCUAUGACCGGCGCCCAGGAAGAGCCCAGCGACGGGGUGUGCGGGACGGCGACGGCUUUGCUCUGCAACUGUUUAACAGCAGCCUGUGUGACACGCAAGCGCUAAAGAAAGCCCCUGCUAAAAAUGUGACUGAGGUGAACCUAUCAAGUUGCAGCAUUUCUCUUCAAUGAUACUGCUUUGGAGCAGAGGGAACAGAAAAUAAUGCAGUGAAAAGGGAUCUGGAUAGCUGGGCAUCAAAAUCACGAUCUAAAAAAAAAAAAAAAAGUGCAUAGUUCCAAAAUCAGAUCCCAUUGCUACUAGGAAAAGUUAAAGUAUUGCAACUGCUUCUUUUAUUAUCUUUAAGGUUUUUGGCUACAUACCCUGAUAUUCAUCAAACAGCUCCAAAAUCAGAAGAGUCGUGCCUUCCUCCUGUCUGUGAAUUCUGACAGAUACAAAUUUUGGAUAGCAUUGGCUUCAGCAAAGUCAGGAUAGAGUGAUGCAAAAUUCAAUGUCUCUCUCUGAAUUCAUUUUAAGACUGAAGAUUUUAGUUUUGCAACCAUUUAAAAAAAAAAAAAAAGUAAUGCAUAGCAUUGGUAAGAAGCCAAAUUUUAUUACCUGGCUUCAAUCAUAGAGAAGAUUAUUGAAGAUUACUAUUGCACAGUAAGGGGCAACAUGCACUCGUGAAUAGCUGGUGUUACACAUAGGGAUAUAUUCAGCUUCUGUCUGUUACUUUAAAAUAACAUUCUCUCUUGCGUGAGUGUUCAAUGAGGUUGCUCUUCCCAAAGCAAACGUUUAUGGAAGAAGAGGAAGUCACAGGAGGUGGUUUGUGCAUAAACUAGCUCAUAUUUGCUAGCUGUAGGGUAUUGUUAAGUAUGAGCUGUUUUUAUUUAAACUCAGCUAAUUUUAUUUAAAAUACCUUCUGUUCAUUUACUCUAAAGCUGUAUCCCCAGACUCAUUAAGAAAUUUUAAUGAGGUAGAAACCCAUUUAAAAUGAGGGGGUUUUCUAUAUAUAUUUGUGAUAUAAAUUGAUUGUUAAGGAAAAUGGAUUAUACUACAGUCUGAGCAAAUUAUGUAAGCAGAUUAUAAAGGGAUAUUAAUAUACAAGGAUAUUGAUUGUUCUUUGUUGCAGUACCAAUAUUUGCACCAGGAUGUGAUGGAGAAUGUUUAUUCAUGGGCAAGUUUCAACACAUGCCUGUGAAACAGCGUAUGGAAAAAAUUAGUAUGACAUCAUUAUUUAUGGAUUCUUGGUGGAAUUAUUUCAUAUUUGCCUUAGGAAGCCAAAUUAAUUUUGUAGUAGUGCAUCUUGAAUUUCUUGAAUCUUACUGGCCCAUAGUUAUCUUAAGGGCCUCUCUUUGUAUGCCAAAGAAUGAUAGUAAAUUUGUUGACUAAAUUUUAGACGAGAGUUUGGAUUUGAUUGUGGUUUUUAUAUAGGAAAGAACAUCCUGACAUGUAAAGAAUACACCCAUGCAUAAAAUAUAUUGGUAUUUUUAUCACUUAUUAUAUAAAGACAUUUUUCUGCAUGUUUUGGUUUUAACUGCUGUCCCAGAAUAUUUCUUGUAUCCUCUCUGCUUGUUGUCACUGGAGCAGAGAGUAGGUAUUUUGAGAACGGUAUGCAGAAGACAUUUCUGGUUAUUUUCACAUCAGUUCUCUUUCAGAGGGGCAGAUGGCAGUAUGAACCAUUUCUCACAAAUUUCAGUGGACAUGUAUUGUUCCUUACCCUUUGUCUGAAUGGGCAUGCUUAUUUCGUGUAUGUUCAAUGGAAUGAAUCCUUUUGUGAAGAGGGGGGUGGGUGCUGGGAGCUCUGCCUCUGCAGGUACUUGGCUUUAUCCUGUUUUUUCAGAGAAUGAAAUGCUAGAGGUCUUUCAGUACCAAAAUGAUCUCAAGUGGUCUUGAAUUCUUCCCUAGGGAUGAUUUUUUUUUUGUUUUGUUAGUAUUAAGUUUGGUGUUGCAUACCAUUUGGCAGGGGCAGUAGUUGACUGGAACUUUGAAGGGACAAGAUGCAUCCUGGAUGUUAUUCCUUUGUCUAUGGUGUCUGAAACCAUGAUCAAAGGUCUUUCAAGGAGCUAUCACAUCAACAGAGUGCCCCUAGGUAGUGUCAUCUGUUUUGAAGAGAAACUACACAAAGCUGCAGUGGCAUUUAGAUAACAAAGAUACAAAAUAGGUUGUUGGGAAGGGUUAUAUCUUGGUAGAACUACAUCUUGUGGGACAGACGAAAUGCUGCAGUGUGUCAAGGGAAGAAUUACAUCUAAACGUUUUAUUUUCUUCAUUGUCCACUGUGGAACUCUCUCUUACCACACAUACAGACAUUAAAAAAAAAGGAAAGAAGACAAGUAGCAGGGCACAGAUAAGGAAGGAAAGAGUACUUAGUUAAGUCACUUAGAAACAUUUAGUAAAGAAUCACAGGUGGAUGCCACUACUGCUGUGAAGGGUGAGACAGAACUGAUGGACUCUGCUGUGCUAGGUCUGAGAGGUUGCUGUUAGAAGACUCUUUCAUCAUCAGAGAUGGCCUGGAAAGUCAAAUUUGCAGCAAUAAAUUGCAAACUUCCAUCACAAGAAAAAGAAAAUUCCACAAAAUAACUCUGUAAACUGGGAUUAAUGUUUAAAUAAAGUACACUUUUUAAUUUUGCUGUGCUGAAAUAACAGAUCAGUCCCUGAAAGAAAGAAAAAAAAUACUGCAUAUCUUUAGUCUAAGAUGUUAAAACUGCCACAAGAUAGCUCAGAAUGAUAGUGUGUUUUGUUUUUGAAGUGAUACUUAUGGUCUUAUCCUGAACUAAGUCCUUUGCUUUCUGUUGGAUUAUGAUCCCUUUUUCUUCCCUUUUGCUCCCAGUUUACUUAUUUUGCUUCUGGUUUUGAGCUACUUAGCCUGCUUGUGCUAUCUGUCAUGAGCUAUCUGGCUUUUUCUAUCUGGUGAUUUUUUUUUUAAUUACUUUUUUUGUAACCUGUUUCUCAGUCUAGUUCAAGACCCAGUUAAGCUUUCUUCUUUCUACAGCCUCAGAAUUGCUAGCUGAAAUGCUGAUUAGCUGGAAAAGAGAAGAUACUGCUGAACAGUGAUGUGGGUGUAGAAAGAAUGACGUGGUGGUGUUAGAAUAAUUUUAUUGUCUAAGUAGCAGACACAUUAUGAUGACUGUAUUUAGUAUUGACUUCUCUCUUAUUCAAAGUGCUGCCCAGACAUUAAGAUUGGGAGUAUGUCUGCCUCCCAACCAUCAUCCUCCUUCCUCCAGAGGUAUUUAAAUAAGGAAAGCAGAGAGAAGACAUGAAGAAUUUCCCUAAUACAAGUCAAGCAGCAGAAAUGAGAUGGAAUACCAGUCUUGUCACUGAAAGACCACAAGUAUUGUACAAUGCUUCUGUAAAGCUACCAGAAGUAGCUCUUCCAGAGAAGACAUGGGAUGAAGACUUAUCAACUUUGCCUUCCAAACAGACCCCCAGAUCUGUUUAGCCUUCAGAAGAAGCAUUGCAGACUUCUGGGAAAAGAUGAUUGAGAGGAAGACAUGACACUGAUUUUUAUCUUUGUGGUUUGCACCAUAGCUCUGAGGAAGGUCAUGACUUCUUCAGCCCUAGUUUUGUAGUUUCAGAGUUCAUACACCUCUCUAGCUCUUCCACCAGAGCCAACUGACUGUCCCCACAAAUGUCAGCAUUGUUGCCAGUGAAGGCUGCUAUUCCUGUUGUGGAAGAGCAAUCUUGUGAUUUGAGCAGUUGAUUUUAUGCGUGUUUAAAGUAUGUAGCAAAAAUUAAAUACACCACUAAAAAUAGAUUAGUGUUUUGUUUAGUCCUUCAUAUAAUUACAAAAUAGAUACUGAAAUGUGUUAAAGUAAUCAAAAGUUAAUUAAAUUUCUGAACAAAAUAACAGAUUCGGUGUGAAGGCUGUGUCAGGUACAAUUACAGCUUUUCUAAGUGAGAAGUAGAAAUUUGGCUCUAUUGGAAAAAAAGAUAGCCAGAUAAAGAUAUGCAGUCUGCUUGCUUACCAUGAUUGCCUAAAGGAAAUAAGAACACUAUUAAUCACAGUUUCUUUCUCUACAUGUCAGGCAUGUUCAUUUGCCUGUGACAUUUAACUACUCUGUUUUUUCCCUGCUUGGGUGUCUCCUGUACCAAACGUUUGUCUGCAUGAUUGAUAGGCAUUAAUGUUAAAAGGACUUCUGUAUUCUGCUCCAAUGAAACCAAGAGAGCAGUGGGAGUAGCCUACCUACAGUAGGUACCAUAGGGUCUAACUGUAACACCUCAUAGUGGUUAGCAGAGAUACAGUUUUUUUCUUAGAACUGAGCUAAUCUAAUAAGCUACAGUCCUGAACCUUUCUUGUGCAGACCCAACCUCGAGUUUGAACACAACGCUCGCAAUUCUGGAACUUGGAGGUUGUACAGAGCCACCAAACUGACUUCAAGAGGAAUCCCUUAAAGUGAGAAAUUUUAAUGGUAAUGUGAGGACGUCGCUAUAGACAAAAAUGCAUCAAUAUCUUCUAGAAGCUGGAACUUGAGUUUUCAUGUUUGCGAUAGACACGAUAUGUAAAAUUAUCAGAGUAUUGGCAUAAAGCCUCAUGUUAUUAUUAAAAAUGUACGUGGAUUGAGACGUGGCUCUUUCUGCUCCUUUCACAAACAGUAUGAAAGGUCAUUUAUUAUUCUCUGUGUACCUGGAGGACUCCUUGCCUCCAGUUACUGUUGAGUGUGCAGGCGUAAUCAGGCUGUAUGUCAUUUUUUUGCGUUUACAGGGAUGACUUUCAAAAUAAACCUCUUACCAGAGCUUCAGGCCAAAAGCUUUCUCCUUGAGCCACAGCUCCUAUCAUUUUUUUCCCCUCAGGCAUACUGAUCCUUAGCUAGUGAAGAAAGCAUGCACACAAAUGAUAGGUCAUUAGGAAAUUCUCUGAAUAGCAAACCUCU